rnacentral:rRNA from 1 species
AUACGGAGGGUGCGAGCGUUAAUCGGAAUUACUGGGCGUAAAGCGCGCGUAGGCGGCUAAGUAAGUCGGAUGUGAAAGCCCUGGGCUCAACCUGGGAAUUGCACUCGAUACUGCUUGGCUAGAGUAUGGUAGAGGGUAGUGGAAUUCCUGGUGUAGCGGUGAAAUGCGUAGAUAUCAGGAGGAACAUCAGUGGCGAAGGCGGCUACCUGGACCAAUACUGACGCUAAGGUGCGAAAGCGUGGGGAGCAAACAGGAUUAGAAACCCGUGUAGUCC